rnacentral:rRNA from 1 species
UACAGAGGUCUCAAGCGUUGUUCGGAUUCAUUGGGCGUAAAGGGUGCGUAGGCGGCGCGGUAAGUCGGGUGUGAAAUCUCGGAGCUUAACUCCGAAACUGCAUUCGAUACUGCCGUGCUUGAGGACUGGAGAGGAGACUGGAAUUUACGGUGUAGCGGUGAAAUGCGUAGAUAUCGUAAGGAAGACCAGUGGCGAAGGCGGGUCUCUGGACAGUUCCUGACGCUGAGGCACGAAGGCCAGGGGAGCAAACGGGAUUAGAACCGUC